UGAAAGAGUGGAACAGCUUGAUCAACCCAACAGAUACCUGGCCUAUGGAAACCUCUGGUUGGCACCAUGACCUCCCUAUUUUGUUAACUUCACCAUCUCCUUCUACACCUGCAACAGGCCCGUGACCCUCCCUCCUGCUUUCCUUCUCCAUGGGUAGGAAAGAAGAGACUUUUCUUGCUUUCACAUAUCCCUGGAUAGAUCCCACCUGGAUAUAUCCCAAAGUGUGAGGAA